rnacentral:rRNA from 1 species
AUGACCUCCGCCAUGAUCGAAGCUCGGCCUCGAAGUCCUGUCGCCGCCGUCUUCGGCAGCUGCUGCUCCGCCGCACUUGCCCAUUCCGGCUGGAUCCCGGCAGCUAGGCCCCGUCCCCGGUCACCGGUGCCCUCGCCGGAGAACCCUGCUUCAGCCCGCUUCCCCCUGCAUCGUCUGAAGCCGCCUGCGUUCCCCUCUGUCUGCUUUCUGUCGAACAGAGGAACCGCUGCCUCGAGCGUCCCUGCGUUGACCUUCCAGAUCCAGCUGGCCCAGCACUGCCGCAUCCGUCCCGCCAGCCCAUGA